rnacentral:tRNA from 1 species
UGGCUCAGUGGACAGAGUGUCAGCCUGCAGACUGAAGGGUCCUGGGUUCGAUUCCCAG